UACGAAGGGGGCUAGCGUUGUUCGGAAUUACUGGGCGUAAAGGGCGCGUAGGCGGUCCUGAUCGUCGGAUGUGAAAGGCCUGGGCUCAACCUGGGAAUGGCAUCCGAUACGGCGGGACUGGAGUGUGGGAGAGGUUGGUGGAAUUCCCAGUGUAGAGGUGAAAUUCGUAGAUAUUGGGAAGAACACCGGUGGCGAAGGCGGCCAACUGGACCACAACUGACGCUGAGGCGCGAAAGCCAGGGGAGCAAACGGG
rnacentral:rRNA from 1 species